rnacentral:rRNA from 1 species
AUUGAACGCUGGCGGCAGGCCUAACACAUGCAAGUCGAGCGGAUGAAGGGAGCUUGCUCCUGGAUUCAGCGGCGGACGGGUGAGUAAUGCCUAGGAAUCUGCCUGGUAGUGGGGGAUAACGUCCGGAAACGGGCGCUAAUACCGCAUACGUCCUGAUGGAGAAAGUGGGGGAUCUUCGAACCUCACGCUAUCAGAUGAGCCUAGGUCGGAUUAGCUAGUUGGUGGGGUAAAGGCCUACCAAGGCGACGAUCCGUAACUGGUCUGAGAGGAUGAUCAGUCACACUGGAACUGAGACACGGUCAAGACUACUACGGGAGGCAGCAGUGGGGAAUAUUGGACAAUGGGCGAAAGCCUGAUACAGCCAUGCCGAGUGUGUGAAGAAGGUCUUCGGAUUGUAAAGCACGUUAAGUUGGGAGGAAGGGCAGUAAGUUAAUACCUUGCUGUUUUGACGUUAACAACAGAAUAAGCACCGGCUAACUUCGUG